AUUAUGAAUGUCAAAGGAGUUUGUCCUGAAGAGGAAGCCUUACACUUCAUUGCUUCUGAGAAGGACAAAGACAUAUUUCAGAAGAAAUUCAUCAGUGAAGACAAAGGUUAUGGAGUUAUUGCCACCAAAAACAUUGAGCCAGGAGAAUUCCUACUGGAGUAUGUUGGAAGACAUAUUACUGGCUCUGAAGGAGAGGACCUGUAUAAAGUGUACUCAGCUGAAGAUGCAACAUUUUUGUAUUUYUACAACUUCCAAGGACAAAACUUCUGCAUUGAUGGCAGUAACGAUACAGCAAGACUUGGAAGAUUCAUAAAUGAUGAUCACAUCAAGCCAAACAGCAAAAUUAAAAUUUUAAGUAACACAGUCAGAAGUCACUUUGUAUUAAUUUAGUAACUGUUUCAUUUAACAAACUAACUGACUGAAAUCAUUUGUGUCUGUACCUUUAUGUGACUAACAGAUAUUGGAUGAGCAACAAAGACCACAUCUGUGUGCAUUUGCAAUCACAGAAAUUCUUGCAGGAGWAGAAAUUGUCUACAACUAUGAAAACUCCAACUGUCAAUGGCGACAGAAGACAACUUCCUUCUCUUCUAAUACACACAUGGAAAAGAAGGAAUCUCGAUGGAAGAGCUCACUAGRAAAUCUCAAGUCUGAGUCUGGCGUGGUGAAAAUUGAUGGCCUUGUAUUCAAUCCAAACAUAAAGAUUACAAAUGGAUGCAAUGGACCAGAAGUCUUUCCAGGACUCUUCUGCAACSGUCCUGUGGCAGUCAAGCGAUUUACUAAACAUAUCAACGAAAGCCAAUUGAAAAUAGCAAACUUUCUAUGUUCAGACAGAUUAAAAACCAAACAUCUGUUGCAGCCCCUUACUGUGAUUGAAGACACCUACUUGGCCUAUAUAGUCUUACCUCUCUGUGAAUAUAAUCUCAAAGACCUGAUCGAAAAUAAGGAUUUUCCUGAGAGACAAAACCUGACUGAGCAGUGGAGACUGGGAAUCUGUCAGGAGUUAUUGCUGGGACUUCAGGAACUGCACUCACAUGGAAUGUUGCACGGAGAUCUGAAGCCUGAAAACAUCCU